UACAGAGGUCUCAAGCGUUGUUCGGAUUCAUUGGGCGUAAAGGGUGCGUAGGUGGCGUCGUAAGUCGGGCGUGAAAUUUCGGAGCUCAACUCCGAAACUGCAUUCGAUACUGCGGUGCUUGAGGACUGGAGAGGAGACUGGAAUUUACGGUGUAGCAGUGAAAUGCGUAGAGAUCGUAAGGAAGACCAGUGGCGAAGGCGGGUCUCUGGACAGUUCCUGACACUGAGGCACGAAGGCCAGGGGAGCAAACGGG
rnacentral:rRNA from 1 species